UUAAAUUGAAGAGUUUGAUCAUGGCUCAGAUUGAACGCUGGCGGCAGGCCUAACACAUGCAAGUCGAACGGUAACAGGAAGCAGCUUGCUGCUUUGCUGACGAGUGGCGGACGGGUGAGUAAUGUCUGGGAAACUGCCYGAUGGAGGGGGAUAACUACUGGAAACGGUAGCUAAUACCGCAUAACGUCGCAAGACCAAAGAGGGGGACCUUCGGGCCUNGCUGACGAGUGGCGGACGGGUGAGUAAUGUCUGGGAAACUGCCYGAUGGAGGGGGAUAACUACUGGAAACGGUAGCUAAUACCGCAUAACGUCGCAAGACCAAAGAGGGGGACCUUMGGGCCUCUUGCCAUCGGAUGUGCCCAGAUGGGAUUAGCUAGUAGGUGGGGUAACGGCUCACCUAGGCGACGAUCCCUAGCUGGUCUGAGAGGAUGACCAGCCACACUGGAACUGAGACACGGUCCAGACUCCUACGGGAGGCAGCAGUGGGGAAUAUUGCACAAUGGGCGCAAGCCUGAUGCAGCCAUGCCGCGUGUAUGAAGAAGGCCUUCGGGUUGUAAAGUACUUUCAGCGGGGAGGAAGGGAGUAAAGUUAAUACCUUUGCUCAUUGACGUUACCCGCAGAAGAAGCACCGGCUAACUCCGUGCCAGCAGCCGCGGUAAUACGGAGGGUGCAAGCGUUAAUCGGAAUUACUGGGCGUAAAGCGCACGCAGGCGGUUUGUUAAGUCAGAUGUGAAAUCCCCGGGCUCAACCUGGGAACUGCAUCUGAUACUGGCAAGCUUGAGUCUCGUAGAGGGGGGUAGAAUUCCAGGUGUAGCGGUGAAAUGCGUAGAGAUCUGGAGGAAUACCGGUGGCGAAGGCGGCCCCCUGGACGAAGACUGACGCUCAGGUGCGAAAGCGUGGGGAGCAAACAGGAUUAGAUACCCUGGUAGUCCACGCCGUAAACGAUGUCGACUUGGAGGUUGUGCCCUUGAGGCGUGGCUUCCGGAGCUAACGCGUUAAGUCGACCGCCUGGGGAGUACGGCCGCAAGGUUAAAACUCAAAUGAAUUGACGGGGGCCCGCACAAGCGGUGGAGCAUGUGGUUUAAUUCGAUGCAACGCGAAGAACCUUACCUGGUCUUGACAUCCACGGAAGUUUUCAGAGAUGAGAAUGUGCCUUCGGGAACCGUGAGACAGGUGCUGCAUGGCUGUCGUCAGCUCGUGUUGUGAAAUGUUGGGUUAAGUCCCGCAACGAGCGCAACCCUUAUCCUUUGUUGCCAGCGGUCCGGCCGGGAACUCAAAGGAGACUGCCAGUGAUAAACUGGAGGAAGGUGGGGAUGACGUCAAGUCAUCAUGGCCCUUACGACCAGGGCUACACACGUGCUACAAUGGCGCAUACAAAGAGAAGCGACCUCGCGAGAGCAAGCGGACCUCAUAAAGUGCGUCGUAGUCCGGAUUGGAGUCUGCAACUCGACUCCAUGAAGUCGGAAUCGCUAGUAAUCGUGGAUCAGAAUGCCACGGUGAAUACGUUCCCGGGCCUUGUACACACCGCCCGUCACACCAUGGGAGUGGGUUGCAAAAGAAGUAGGUAGCUUAACCUUCGGGAGGGCGCUUACCACUUUGUGAUUCAUGACUGGGGUGAAGUCGUAACAAGGUAACCGUAGGGGAACCUGCGGUUGGAUCACCUCCUUACCUUAAAGAAGC
rnacentral:rRNA from 1 species